CUAAGGAGGAGUGACAAUUCCGCGCCCUGACGAAAUAGGGCGUUAAAAGAUGUAGGUAUAUUUUCUAUAGGCAAAUCCGUAGAGAAUGCUGAAGUCCAACAGUACCAGGAGGCUCCGGCCGAAUGGAUAGAGAAUGUAGCAGACUUCCGAGAAAAUCUUCUAAGCAUAUUGAUACGGUACCCGUACCGCAAACCGACACAGGUAGUCAAGGAGAGAAUCCUGAGGUGCUCGAGUGAGUCAUGGCUAAGGAACUAGGCAAAUUAAACCUGUAACUUCGGGAAAAGGGUUGCCUCUCUUUAGCAAUAAAGAAGGUCGCAGAGAAAUGGCCCAGGCGACUGUUUAACAAAAACACAUGGCUAUGCGAAAUCGUAAGAUGAAGUAUAUGGCCUGACACCUGCCCGGUGCUGGAAGGUUAAGGGGGGAAGUUAGUCGCAAGGCGAAGCUUUGAACUGAAGCCCCAGUAAACGGCGGCCGUAACUAUAACGGUCCUAAGGUAGCGAAAUUCCUUGUCGGGUAAGUUCCGACCUGCACGAAUGGUGUAACGAUCUGGGCACUGUCUCAGCCAUGAGCUCGGUGAAAUUGUAGUCACGGUGAUAUGCCGUGUACCCGUCACGGGACGGAAAGACCCCAUGCACCUUUACUAUAGCUUCGCAUUGACAUUGGGUAGAUGAUGUGUAGGAUAGGUGGGAGGCGUUGAUCCUGUGCCGCUAGGUAUAGGGGAGCCAACGGUGAAAUACCACCCUUUAUUUAUCUGAUGUCUAAUCCGCAAGACCUGCGGAGACAGUGCGUGGUGGGUAGUUUGACUGGGGUGGUCGCCUCCGAAAGUGUAUCGGAGGCUUUCAAAGAUAUGCUCAAUACGCUUGGUAACCGUAUGUGGAGUGCAAUAGCAUAAGCAUGCUUGACUGUGAGACUGACAAGUCGAGCAGGGUCGAAAGACGGAUAUAGUGAUCCGGUGGUUCUGUAUGGAAGGGCCAUCGCUCAAAGGAUAAAAGGUACGCUGGAUAACAGGCUGAUCUCCCCCAAGAGCUCACAUCGACGGGGAGGUUUGGCACCUCGAUGUCGGCUCGUCACAUCCUGGGGCUGGAGAAGGUCCCAAGGGUUAGGCUGUUCGCCUAUUAAAGUGGCAUGCGAGCUGGGUUCAGAACGUCGUGAGACAGUUCGGUCCCUAUCUGUGAUGGGCGUAGGAAGUUUGAGAGGAUCUGACCUUAGUACGAGAGGACCGGGUUGGACCAACCGCUGGUGUACCGGUUGUGGCGUCAGCUGCAUCGCCGGGUAGCUACGUUGGGACGAGAUAAGCGCUGCAAGCAUCUAAGCGCGAAACUCACCUCAAGAUGAGACUUCCAUUAAGGGACGUCAGAGACUAUGACGUUGAUAGGCUGCAGGUGUAAAGGCAGAAAUGUCAAAGCUGAGCAGUACUAAUUACCC
rnacentral:rRNA from 1 species